ACUUUUAAAGGAUAAUAGUGAUCCAUCGGUUUUAGAAACCUAAACUCUUGGUGCAACCCCAAGUGAAAGUU
rnacentral:tRNA from 1 species